rnacentral:rRNA from 1 species
GACGAACGCUGGCGGCGUGCUUAACACAUGCAAGUCGAGCGGUAAGGCCCUUUCGGGGGUACGACGAGCGGCGAACGGGUGAGUAACACGUGGGUGACCUGCCCUUAGCUCUGGGAUAAGCCUGGGAAACUAGGGUCUAAUACCGGAUAUGACUCCAUGACGCAUGUUGUGGGGUGGAAAGCCCUGUGCGGCUAGGGAUGGGCCCGCGGCCUAUCAGCUUGUUGGUGGGGUGAUGGCCUACCAAGGCGACGACGGGUAGCCGGCCUGAGAGGGCGACCGGCCACACUGGGACUGAGACACGGCCCAGACUCCUACGGGAGGCAGCAGUGGGGAAUCUUGCGCAAUGGGCGAAAGCCUGACGCAGCGACGCCGCGUGGGGAUGACGGCCUGGUGUAAC